rnacentral:rRNA from 1 species
UACGUAGGGUGCGAGCGUUAAUCGGAAUUACUGGGCGUAAAGUGUGCGCAGGCGGCAGAGCAAGUCGAGUGUGAAAGCCCCGGGCUUAACUUGGGAAUUGCGCUCGAAACUACUCUGCUGGAGUGUGGCAGAGGAAGGUGGAAUUCCACGUGUAGCGGUGAAAUGCGUAGAGAUGUGGAGGAACACCAAUGGCGAAGGCAGCCUUCUGGGCCAACACUGACGCUCAUGCACGAAAGCGUGGGGAGCAAACAGG